UGCCGGAGGAGCCGCCGGAGGAGCCGCGUUCCCGCCGGGAGCCGCGGCUUUAAUUAUGGAAAGUUCUUUUACGUCGUGGCUUUGAGGUGGUUUGUAGGAAUUUACUGUAUCAUUUUGUUUGCAGUUGGUGUAUCGUGAACUUCUUCGAUGUUUUGGUUGUUGGCUCAGGCGUUGGUGACAAGGCUGUUUUGGAAUUGAGUUUUGUUGUCGCUUUUUUUUUUUUUUUUUUUUUUUUUUUGGUGGGGUAUUAUGCUUUUAAACGAUAUGUUUUUUACAGUUGACUAUGGUUUUUAUGGAUCGUGAAGCUUGAAGUGGAAUGUAGGUUUUAAAUUCCGUUGUGGUGGCUUUUAUUAGCGUACGUAGUGUUUGUUUCUAGGUAGUGUCCUGUAGUAAAUUUGUGCGGCUUUAAAAGUUCAUAUUAUUGCAUUUUUGUUUAUCAUAUUAUCGGGGUUUUAUGUAUUUGGUUUGUUUGAUUGUAGUGUAUGUUUUGUGGUUACGAAUAGUUAGGGAGGUAUUGUUUCUGGUUACAUUUAUCCUUUGGCUUUGUGUUUAUUUCUAGGUGGUAUUUUUGUUUUAUUGGACGGAGGAAUUUUGGGUUUAUUGAGUCAGGAAUAAUUUUUUUGUUAAUUCUAGUUUGUUUGUUGGGGGUUUUUUUGUAGUUUGACUUGUUUUGUUUUUGCUUUUUAUUGGUUUUAUUUUUGGGGACGUGGGUAUUUAUGUGGUGGGUUUUUUGGUAGUUAUUUGAGUUGGUUUUUUUAUUGUUUUCAAUUUUUAUUGUAUCGUUAAUUUGUUUAGUUAUUAAGUUAAUUUUAUAGAGUAUUGCUGCCUCCUUGAGUUAGCGUAGAGGUAGAGAUUUGCUUAUUUUUUUUAAUAACAUGAGGGGUCUGUUGUACAAUUUGGAGUUUAGUAAGUUGGUUGGGUUUCUCUUUUUUUAGUGGUUUCUGGCAUUUGCUGUGUGGUUUCCUAUAGGGUUGGUUUUUAAUUUUGUUCCAUUUUUUGUGAUGUGAUAAGAAUUGUUAGUGAAAAGAGUGUAGUGUGUUUUUUUUCACUAGUAUUUGGUUGCAUGGUGGAGUUUUUUCAGUUUGUGGGGGUUUUUUUUGGUUUUUUGGGUUUUUUUAAAUUUUUCCUUGUUGCUUAGAGAUUAAAGUUUUUUUUGGCGGGGUUAAUUUGUAACUAUUUUCACGGUUUUAGUGUGGUUGAGAUUUGUGAUGUGGGUGCAAUGUAUGAUGAGAGUAAUAUUAUGUGGAAUUGAUGGCAGGGUCGAAGACAGUUUUGUAUAGCAUAUGCAUUUUAAUAAUGGUAGUUGGGAUGGUCAGAGGAAUUGCAUUUUAGUGUUUGUUUUUGAGGUGGUCUGGGGUUUUAUUAGAGGCUAGGGGUUUUUUUUCGCUGGUGGAGCUAUUCUGACUUUUUAAUGAUACUGGUAGGAAUUUCAUGCUGUUUCUUUUGUUAUUUUACUUUUAGGAAUUGGAUCUUUGCAGUAGGCUUUUUGGUUUUGUAUUUUUUCAUGAUCAAGUUGUUUUUGAGGAGAAUUUGGAUGAGUGUUUCAAUUAUUUUUGCUAUACUUUUUAUCUGAUGUUGGUUUAUUGUAAAUGUUUUGGAGGUGAUGUUUUAGUUUAAUUUAGCUGCAUUUACGGUAGAUGGUAGGACUGUGUUUUUGUUUUUGGGGCAGUUGGUUAUAGGUGUAUUGUAUGUUCUUUAAGUGAAGGUAAAUGGUAGUUUGUAUUUGUUAGAGGAAAUGUUAGGGGAAAAUGUAUUGGUAAUGUUAAUAAUGGCGUGUUAUUUUGUGGUUUUGGAUUUUAGUUUGUAUUGGAGUUUUAAUAAGUUUGAUACAGUAGUGUUUAGUGGUGGAGUUAUUUAAGGUAUGUCAGCUUAUGGUUCUUUUUAAUUUGUUUUAGAUCUGUGCAUGGGUUAAAUGGGGUUCUUGAAAGCUGAGUAGGUUUUGUUGAUUACUUUUUGGUGUUUUAGUUUAUGGAAUAUUUUUUGGAUGGGAGUUCAAGUAUUUUGAGUUGCUUGGUCUUGCUGGAGGUGUAUUGUUGAGGAGAUAAUGGAUAUUUGUAGGGUUGUUUUUAAAGAAGUUUUGUUGUAGCUUGUCCUAGAUAGUUGAGGUUAGGUGUUUAUUUGUUUGAUGGUUCUUGGCAUUAUAGUAGCUAUUCUAAGGGUUUGUGUUUUUUUGGUUUUUGAAAUAUUUCUUUUAGACAAAGUUCAUGUUCAGAAUGUAUGAAUUUUUGGGUCAAAAUAGAACUUACGAAUUUUAUUUGUAGUGUGGGUUUUAUAGGUUGUAUUGCAGUUAAACUUUAUAUUUGUAUUAGGUUAGUAAAACAAAUAGGUUUGUUUUAUAUUUUAUGAUAAGGAUAGCGUAUACUGUGUACAGGUGUUCAUUAAGGUAUUAUAUUUUAGCAGGUCUGAAGUGUUAAGUUAAUGAAUUUAUAUAGUUCACCAGACAGGGAUUAUUUGUGUUUAUUUAGUUAGAGGCAGGGCUUUUUUAGCUUUAAGGGUGAUUUUAGCAAAGAUAUCAGAGGUUUUAUUAACUGUAUUGGGAAUGGGGGUCUUUGUAAAUAAGUGUGGUAGCUAGGUUGUGGGAAAAUGGAAUUGACAUUUUUGGUGGCAUUUUUGGGUAUUGUCCUUUCAGAAAUUUAUGAUUGUGUUCCUGAUUGCAGCCGUGACCAAGGGACCAGAGCCCGGUGACUGCGGGACAUUGCCAGCGAGAGAGGCGGCCUUCCUUUGCAGCGGACGUGGAUUCUCAUCCCAGGAUGCUCGAGAGAUAAGUCGAGGGCUGUGCCACGCUGAGGGGAUGGAAGCGAGGUGCUGGGAGGGCCUUUUGAGUAGUUUCUUGGGAGGCAGGGAUGUGCAGGAGAUGGCCCCUUAGGCCACAUGGAGGAGAAGUCUCACAGUGCUGAGGUGCUCAGGGCAGAGCGGUCCCGGUGCCUGUCACUUGUGUCACUUGUCUUCGUGCCUUCUGUGUGUUUUGGAUGUCUCGUGUCACGUGUCUUGUGCCUUAGUCCUUUGAGGGGCUUAUGGUUUGUCCUGUUCUGUGUCACGGGUGUCUGGGUGUUUGGGCCGAUGCCACUCUGCCCUGCUGCAAAGCCUGGUGUAGGUAUCAUAGGAGAAGUCCUGGGGGCCUGGAAAUUUGUAAUACAGGGUGUAGGUGAGCUCUGGAUGGGAUUUGUAGAUUGACGCUAGAUGUCUGGAGCUCCUGUGGUUUCCUGCAGCACUCUGACUUUUGUGCUAACAUUCUUUCAGAUGCAGCCAGCUGAAAUCUGUGGCAGAGGGACCCGUGCCGAGUGAGUGGGCUCUGCAGAGCAGGAAGUCAAGCCGGGUAUCAGCAGGCAAGGCGUUCCAGUGGUAUUACGCCGAGACCCCCUCAGCAACUGGCCAACGGACCCGGUUCAUGGCUCUUGUGGGAAUUGAUCUUGAGGAGUAAAUUUCUGUUCAAGUGAUUUUUUUUUUUUUAAUCUAUUAUUAUGUUGUGUCUUAGUCCUGUUAAUUGUUUUGAAUUUUAUUUUUGAUACUUUGAGGCAACUUCUUUGUGGUUUUCUGUUUUUUUGUUUGGUUUUUUUUGUAGCUAAUAUUAUACAAGUUUUUUUUUUCUAAUGAUUUUAGUAAUUUUAAUUAUUGUGGCUUAACUGUAAUUUGGGUAAGGGUGUAUAAAUUGUAGUUUAAGAGUUUGUGAUAUAUAGGAUUUAUUGAUUUACAAUUUAAAGUUUGCGAGGGAUAACGUUAGGUGUUAAGAGGUAUACUAGCAAUGUAUGUAGAAAAUGGAUUUUUAGGAUUGGUGACUGAUGAACACUGUAUUUGGAUGCAUGGUUUUAGUUAGGGUUGCUUAUGUGUUUUGUUUUGGUUGUGGAACUAUUUAUGUAGAGUUUUUUUGGUGUAUUUUAAAUAACGUUUGACACAGUGAGUAGCAGUCUCGUCUAUUUAUUUUUUGUGGAAACAGGUAUAACUUUUUCUUCAGGUUAUGAAAUUUACAGGAUUACUUUAUUGAUUACUUACUAAAUAUUGUUCUCGAGUAGGUUUUCGUAACUCUGAUUUUGAAAUCAAAGAAAAAUGAGUGGAAAAAGAUGAGGUAGAGCAGUUUUCUCCUUAUGGGAUAUAAAGGGUUUAACACAGAA